UACAGAGGGUGCAAGCGUUUAAUCGGAAUUACUGGGCGUAAAGCGUGCGCAGACGGUUAUAUAAGUCGGGUGUGAAAGCCCCGGGCUCAACCUGGGAAUUGCAUUCGAGACUGUGUAGCUAGGGUACGGAAGAGGGAAGCGGAAUUUCAGGUGUAGCGGUGAAAUGCGUAGAUAUCUGAAGGAACACCAGUGGCGAAGGCGGGUCUCUGGACAGUUCCUGACGCUGAGGCGCGAAAGCUAGGGGAGCAAACGGG
rnacentral:rRNA from 1 species